AUACGGAGGGUGCGAGCGUUAAUCGGAAUUACUGGGCGUAAAGAGUACGUAGGCGGCCUAUUAAGUCAGAUGUGAAAGCCCAGGGCUCAACCUUGGAACUGCAUUUGAAACUGGUAGGCUAGAGUAUGGUAGAGGGGGGUAGAAUUUCUGGUGUAGCGGUGAAAUGCGUAGAUAUCAGAAGGAAUACCAGUGGCGAAGGCGGCCCCCUGGCCCAAUACUGACGCUGAGGUACGAAAGCGUGGGUAGCGAACGGGAUUAGAUACCCCAGUAGUCC
rnacentral:rRNA from 1 species